rnacentral:rRNA from 1 species
AGCGAACGCUGGCGGCAGGCCUAACACAUGCAAGUCGAACGGAUCCUUCGGGAUUAGUGGCGGACGGGUGAGGAACACGUGGGAACGUGCCUUUUGGUUCGGAACAACUCAGGGAAACUUGAGCUAAUACCGGAUGUGCCCUUCGGGGGAAAGAUUUAUCGCCAUUAGAGCGGCCCGCGUCUGAUUAGCUAGUUGGUGGGGUAAAGGCUCACCAAGGCUACGAUCAGUAGCUGGUCUGAGAGGAUGAUCAGCCACACUGGGACUGAGACACGGCCCAGACUCCUACGGGAGGCAGCAGUGGGGAAUCUUGCGCAAUGGGCGAAAGCCUGACGCAGCCAUGCCGCGUGAAUGAUGAAGGUCUUAGGAUUGUAAAAUUCUUUCACCGGGGACGAUAAUGACGGUACCCGGAGAAGAAGCCCCGGCUAACUUCGUGCCAGCAGCCGCGGUAAGACGUAGCGUG